AUUGAACGCUGGCGGCAGGCUUAACACAUGCAAGUCGAGCGGAGAUGAGGUGCUUGCACCUUAUCUUAGCGGCGGACGGGUGAGUAAUGCUUAGGAAUCUGCCUAUUAGUGGGGGACAUCAUUCCGAAAGGCAUGCUAAUACCGCAUACGUUCUACGGGUGAAAGCAGGGGCUCUUCGGACCUUUCGCUAUUAGAUGUGCCUAAGUCGUAUUAGAUAGUUGGUGGGGUAAAGGUCUACCAAGGCGACGAUCUGUAGCGGGUCUGAGAGGAUGAUCCGCCACACUGGGACUGAGACACAGCUCAGACUCCUACGGGAGGCAGCAGUGGGGAAUAUUGGACAAUGGGGGAAACCCUGAUCAAGCCAUGCCGCGUGUGUGAAGGAGGCCUUAUGGUUGUAAAGCACUUUAAGCGAGGAGGAGUCUACAGAGACUAAUACUCUUGGAUAGUGGACGAUACUCGCAGAAUAAGCACCGGCUAACUCUGUGCCAGCAGCCGCGGUAA
rnacentral:rRNA from 1 species